GUACAUGUGAGGAGAGAACUGAGCGUGUGGGUACCGGUAGUUCAGAUUGAAUGAAAUCGACAUUUUUUUGAUACCACACAAUAUGCCUCGAACUCGGCUGAAGUUCUUUCUGGCCGCUUAGCUCUAUAAACUAAGGGUAUGUGUGACCCGAGACUAAAAUAGAAAGUUCGACAUAGCCAUCCACUUGCAGGGGUGACGUGCAGAGUAUACCGUUGCAGUUCGACUUGCUACAAUGCUUCGUUGGCUGUGCAGACUCAGGCCGUUUCCUGCCGGCCAGCGGCAUUCACCUGUUCUUGUCGGACUAGGCCAAUUGCUGUUCAAGGCCAGUCCAUGUGUGGCGGAAACAGUCGAGGCUCCUCCGUUAUUGCAACAACAGCAAAGCGACCAUUUCGUGCUAGCCGUCGUAGGUACUACCGCUGCCAUCAACUUCAUUCUAGCAAUCAUGCGCUGCAGGCUACGGGGAAGGUAUGUGGGAUUUUUGCCGUCUCUCCUGAGCGUCGCUGUUGGCAUUGCUGCGAUCUCAUGCUACAGUCAUGGCGUGCUGAAAUUUCAGAUGUACUACAUGGCUCUUAACUGUGUGAUCUAUGCACUGUGGGUGUCAGUGGAUGCUUUCCAUUGCACUGCCGCGUAUUUUGAAUAGAAAACUGCCUACGGAUUCUUGAGUUGAUCAAACUUGAUUUAGCUGCGUCCACUUCACCACCACCACCGUUGGACUCUGCGACCGACCAGGCAUUCCCCGCAACAGCAACCAGAGGUUUCUUUGUAGUACUGAUAAUAUUUUAUUUAUUUCAGUGCGAUGAAGGAACCUCUUGUUGCUGUUGUGGGCAAUGCGUGGUCGACCGAAGAGCGUAACGGUACAUGGUAGUUGUGGUGAAAUGGAUGCAGAAUGUUCAAGGGCUGAGCGCUGCUGCUUACUUACUUGUACUUAGCUGGUUGUGUUUGGACACUCUCCACAGAUGUGUGCAGAACAUGUGAAGAAGCAAACGGCUUUCGAUUGCCCAUCGUUUUUCAACUCUAGCUAAGCGUAUUUUUUAACACCAUGUGCUUUCCGAAUAAACCAACAUGCUGAGCGUUUGAGACUUUGCAAGUACCGUAGUUGUGAUUUCUGCGGGAGCUCGAUUGUGGACUUCUGUUCUGA